rnacentral:rRNA from 1 species
GACAGAGGCCUCGAGCGUUAGGCGGAAUCACUGGGCUUAAAGCGUGUGUAGGCGGGCCCGUAAGUGUCUUGUGAAAUCCCACGGCUCAACCGUGGAACUGCUGGGCAUACUGCGGGUCUUGGGCCAACUAGGGGCAGCCGGAACAAGCGGUGGAGCGGUGAAAUGCGUAGAUAUCGUUUGGAACGCCAAUGGAGAAAUCAGGUUGCUGGGAGUGUGCUGACGCUGAGACACGAAAGCCAGGGGAGCGAACGGG